CCUACGGGAGGCAGCAGUGGGGAAUAUUGCGCAAUGGACGAAAGUCUGACGCAGCGACGCCGCGUGUGGGAUGACGGUCUUCGGAUUGUAAACCACUGUCGGGAGGGACGCGGUACCUCCAAAGGAAGCACCGGCUAACUCCGUGCCAGCAGCCGCGGUAAUACGGAGGGUGCGAGCGUUGUCCGGAAUCACUGGGCGUAAAGGGCGCGUAGGCGGCCUGAUAAGUAGGGGGUGAAAUCUUGCGGCUUAACCGCAAGGCUGCCUUCUAAACUGUCAGGCUCGAGCACAGUAGAGGCAGGUGGAAUUCCCGGUGUAGCGGUGGAAUGCGUAGAGAUCGGGAAGAACAUCAGUGGCGAAGGCGGCCUGCUGGGCUGUGCUGACGCUGAGGCGCGACAGCGUGGGGAGCAAACAGGAUUAGAUACCCUUGUAGUC
rnacentral:rRNA from 1 species